rnacentral:lncRNA from 1 species
CAUGAUUUAAGUAGACUUCAAGAUCCACAUUUUCUCAUGUUUUUCUAAAACAUUUUUAUUUGGCAAAAGUUAAAUAUUACCAUGAGUUUAAUAUUUGCUUCCAUGUGGUUUACAUGAAUCAAAAAGCAAAGUAAAUUUAAAGGGCUCUUUUUUCGUGUGAUAUGUCUCACUAGGGAAACUUAUGCCCUUUACUUCUUAUCUGUCAGUACACUAAAAGACACCACAGAAUUUUCUUUCAGAUCGUACCUUAAAUUUUCUCAUUUUUAGAUAUUUAAAUAUUUUAUUGCACUAUUUAUUGCCUAUGCGUGAUUUCAGAAAUUAGUAUGCUUUCAUAUUUAAUCAUUGUUGUUACUCCUGAUUUAUACCUAAAACACAGAUCUAUAUAGUAUAUCCCAAAUUAAUAUUUUAAAUUAUUUAAUUGAACCAGGAUUUGACUUUUAGAGUUACAUUUUCAAAUUUGUGUUAAAACAUAGAUUUCUACCUAAGCUCUACAAUGCAUGUAACAUUAAAUACUCAGUUAUAAAUGAUAAUAAACUUCGAGUUGCUGACAGGUUAUAGAAGGUAGCAAUGUAUUUUUGUCUUUGGUUUUAGACGAAAAAGCAAGUUUAAAACACAUUCUCAAAAAUUCUCACAAAUAAUUUACACUAAUAAAUAUUCAUUUCAACAUUUAUAAUUCUUAGGAAGGAUAAGAAGAGAAGACGUGAAUAAAGAACUUUCGUUCUAAGGUGUAUUAAAUGUUUUAUUCUCCACCAGCCCUCAUUUCUCCGAAAGAGUGAUUAAUUUUAUCAUACAUUGUUUAUACAGAAACAUGAAACAAAUGAUUGAGAACUAAAAGAUUGCAUUAUUAAGAGAACAGCAUGCUGCAAAGAACUUGGGUCUGGAAUUUGACCGAAGUGCAUUCAAGUUCCAGCUCGUUGUCCAGCCCUGAGAAGGUCAACAGAUCGCUUAUCCGUCAUCCAACUAUGUUCACUUGGCUGUGCUUCUCUUUCCAAGGAAAUGCAACGGAGUUCUAA